rnacentral:rRNA from 1 species
UAAUACGAACCGUCCAAACGUUAUUCGGAAUUACUGGGCUUAAAGGGUUUGUAGGCGGCCUUGUAAGUGGGGUGUGAAAUCCCUCGGCUCAACCGAGGAAUAGCGCUCCAAACUACAUGGCUUGAGGGAGACAGGGGUUAGCGGAACUGAUGGUGGAGCGGUGAAAUGCGUUGAUAUCAUCAGGAACACCGGUGGCGAAAGCGGCUAACUGGGUCUCUUCUGACGCUGAGAAACGAAAGCUAGGGUAGCGAACGGGAUUAGAUACCCCGGUAGUCCUAGCUGUAAACGAUGAGCACUUGGUUGGGGAUCCUCCCAUAGGUUCUCGACCGUAGCGAAAGUGUUAAGUGCUCCGCCUGGGGAGUAUGGUCGCAAGGCUG